rnacentral:lncRNA from 1 species
AGCGGUGCCGUCAACUUUCUCCCAAGUUGUGUAGAUAAGACAAAGCAGCGCUCUCAGGAGGGCUUGGCUCACAUUUGGAUCAGUGUCAAGGAGCAUGAUUACUGGAUUAUAUGGUAAAAGUAUGUUUAGUUUUGUAAGAAACUGCCAAACUGGCUUAGAAAGUGGCUGUGCCAUUUUGCAUUCCCAUCAGCAAUAUAUGUGAGUUCCCAAUAUAUGAGAUUUGGAGUACCAAAUCCUCAUCAGAAUUUCAUGUUGUCAAUGUUCUGAAUUUUGGACAUUCUAAUAGGUGUGUAGCAGUAUUUCAUUGUUUGAAUUUACAUUUCCCUAAUUAUAUAUGAUGUGGAGUAUCUUUUCAUAUGCUUACAUGACAUCUGUGUAUCUUCUUUGGCAAGGUGUUGGUUAAGAUUUUAGGACACUUUUAUUGAAUUGAUUAUUUUCUUACAAUUUAGUUUUAAGAGUUUUUUUGUAUAUUUGGGGUAGCCGUCCUUUAUCAGAGAUUUCUUUCUGCAAAUAUUUUCCCCCAGUUUGUGGCUUGUCUAUUCACUCUCUUGACAAUGUAUUCACAGAGCAAAAAUAUUAAUUGCAAUAGAGUAUAGCUUAUCCAUUUUUCCUUUUAAAAUUGUGC